GUCCCAAACAUGGCCGGUUGUGAUACAGCCUGGACUUGAACCAGGGUCUGUAGUGAAGCCACUAGCACUGAGAUGCAGUGUCUUAGACCGUUGCGCCACUCUGGAGAAACAGUAUGAAACGUAACACUCAUAAGCUAUUUAACAGUAUUAGUAAUGUGUAGAGACCAGAGACACAUUCAUCAGCUCUGUGGUGGUUAUAACAGUGAUGUGUAGAGACCAGAGACACAUUCAUCAGCUCUGUGGUGGUAGUAACAGUGAUGUGUAGAGACCAGAGACACAUUCAUCAGCUCUGUGGGGUUGGUAACAGUGAUGUGUUGAGGCCAGAGACAAAUUCAUCAGCUCUGUGGUGGUAGUAUUAGUAAUGUGUAGAGACCAGAGACACAUUCAUCAGCUCUGUGGUGGUAGUAACAGUGAUGUGUAGAGACCAUAGACACAUUCAUCAGCUCUGUGGUGGUAGUAUUAGUAAUGUGUAGAGGCCAGAGACACAUUCAUCAGCUCUGUGGUGGUAGUAACAGUGAUGUGUAGAGACCAGAGACACAUUCAUGAGCACUGUGGUGGUAGUAACAGUGAUGUGUAGAGACCAGAGACACAUUCAUCAGCUCUGAGGUGGUAGUAACAGUGAUGUGUAGAGACCAGAGACACAUUCAUCAGCUCUGUGGUGGUAGUGACAGUGAUGUGUAGAGACCAGAGACACAUUCAUCAGCUCUGAGGUGGUAGUGACAGUGAUGUGUAGAGACCAGAGACACAUUCAUCAGCUCUGU
rnacentral:lncRNA from 1 species